rnacentral:rRNA from 1 species
GACGAACGCUGGCGGCAUGCCUAAUACAUGCAAGUCGAGCGAACAGAUGAAGUGCUUGCACUUCUGACGUUAGCGGCGAACGGGUGAGUAACACGUAAGGAAUCUACCUAUAAGCGGGGGAUAACAUUCGGAAACGGGUGCUAAUACCGCAUAAUAUCUUCUUCCGCAUGGAAGAAGAUUGAAAGACGGCUCUGCUGUCACUUAUAGAUGACCUUGCGGUGCAUUAGUUAGUUGGUGGGGUAAUGGCCUACCAAGACGAUGAUGCAUAGCCGAACUGAGAGGGUGAUCGGCCACAUUGUGACUGAGACACGGCCCAAACUCCUACGGGAGGCAGCAGUAGGGAAUCUUCCGCAAUGGGCGAAAGCCUGACGGAGCAAUGCCGCGUGAGUGAAGAAGGCCUUCGGGUCGUAAAACUCUGUUAUAAGGGAAUAACAAAUUGUAGAGUAACUGCUACAGUCUUGACGGUAUCUUAUCAGAAAGCCACGGCUAACUACGUGCCAGCAGCCGCAGUAA